GGGGAAUAUUGGACAAUGGGCGCAAGCCUGAUCCAGCCAUACCGCGCGGGUGAAGAAGGCCUUCGGGUUGUAAAGCCCUUUUGUUGGGUAAGAAAAGCAUUCGGUUAAUACCCGAUUGUUCUGACGGUACCCAAAGAAUAAGCACCGGCUAACUUCGUGCCAGCAGCCGCGGUAAUACGAAGGGUGCAGGCGUUACUCGGAAUUACUGGGCGUAAAGCGUGCGUAGGUGGGUGUUUAAGUCUGUCGUGAAAGCCCUGGGCUCAACCUGGGAAUUGCGAUGGCAACUGGGCGACUAGAGUGUGGCGGGGGGUAGUGGAAUUCCUGGUUUAGGAGUGAAAUGCGUAGAAAUCAAGAGGAACAUCCGUGGGGAAGGCGACUGCCUGGGCCAACACUGACACUGAGGCACGAAAGCGUGGGGAGCAAACA
rnacentral:rRNA from 1 species